rnacentral:rRNA from 1 species
UACGUAGGGUGCAAGCGUUGUCCGGAAUUAUUGGGCGUAAAGAGCUCGUAGGCGGUCUGUCGCGUCGGCUGUGAAAAUCCGAGGCUUAACCUCGGACCUGCAGUCGAUACGGGCAGACUAGAGUUCGGUAGGGGAGACUGGAAUUCCUGGUGUAGCGGUGAAAUGCGCAGAUAUCAGGAGGAACACCGGUGGCGAAGGCGGGUCUCUGGGCCGAUACUGACGCUGAGGAGCGAAAGCGUGGGGAGCGAACAGG